GUGUGUCCAGAGAGAGACAGCUGUAAGGUUCUAGUUUGUUGUGUGUGUCCAGAGAGAGACAGCUGUAAGGUUCUAGUUUGUUGUGUGUGUCCAGAGAGAGACAGCUGUAAGGUUCUAGUUUGUUGUGUGUGUCCAGAGAGAGACAGCUGUAAGGUUCUAGUUUGUUGUGUGUGUCCAGAGAGAGACAGCUGUUAGGUUCUAGUUUGUUGUGUGUGUCCAGAGAGAGACAGCUGUUAGGUUCUAGUUUGUUGUGUGUGUCCAGAGAGAGACAGCUGUUAGGUUCUAGUUUGUUGUGUGUGUCCAGAGAGAGACAGCUGUAAGGUUCUAGUUUGUUGUGUGUGUCCAGAGAGAGACAGCUGUAAGGUUCUAGUUUGUUGUUGUGUGUGUCCAGAGAGAGACAGCUGUAAGGUUCUAGUUUGUUGUUGUGUGUGUCCAGAGAGAGACAGCUGUAAGGUUCUAGUUUGUUGUGUGUGUCCAGAGAGAGACAGCUGUUAGGUUCUAGUUUGUUGUGUGUGUCCAGAGAGAGACAGCUGUUAGGUUCUAGUUUGUUGUUGUGUGUGUCCAGAGAGAGACAGCUGUUAGGUUCUAGUUUGUUGUGUGUCCAGAGAGAGACAGCUGUAAUGUUCUG